GUUGGGUACGGGGACAUGAUGCCGACGAGUCCCUGGGGCAAACUGGUUGGCUCCCUGUGCGCCAUCGCAGGUGUCCUCACCAUCGCCCUGCCAGUUCCCGUCAUCGUUUCAAAC
rfam:Helobdella robusta unplaced genomic scaffold HELROscaffold_3, whole genome shotgun sequence.